rnacentral:rRNA from 1 species
CGGCGAGUGAAGCGGCAAUAGCUCAAAUUUGAAAAGCUGGCGUCUUCGACGUCCGCGUUGUAAUUUGUAGAGGAUGCUUCGGCGAGGACUCCUGCCUAAGUUCCCUGGAAUGGGACGUCACAGAGGGUGAGAAUCCCGUAUGUGGCGGGCGGUCCAAGCCAUGUGAAGCUCCUUCGACGAGUCGAGUUGUUUGGGAAUGCAGCUCUAAAUGGGAGGUAAAUUUCUUCUAAAGCUAAAUACCGGCCAGAGACCGAUAGCGCACAAGUAGAGUGAUCGAAAGAUGAAAAGCACUUUGGAAAGAGAGUUAAAAAGUACGUGAAAUUGUUGAAAGGGAAGCGCUUGCAACCAGACUCGUUCGCAGUUGCUCAGCCGGCCUCUUGGCCGGUGUACUCUUCUGCGGUCGGGCCAGCAUCAGUUCGGGCGGCUGGAUAAAGGUGUCGGGAAUGUAGCUCCCCUCGGGGAGUGUUAUAGCCCGGCGCGGAAUGCAGCCAGCCUGGACUGAGGAUCUCGCUUCGGCAAGGAUGCUGGCGUAAUGGUUGUAAGCGGCCCGUCUUGAAACACGGACCAAGGAGUCUAACAUCUAUGCGAGUGUUUGGGUGUCAAACCCAUACGCGUAAUGAAAGUGAACGGAGGUGGGAACCCGCAAGGGUGCACCAUCGACCGAUCCUGAUGUCUUCGGAUGGAUUUGAGUAAGAGCAUAGCUGUUGGGACCCGAAAGAUGGUGAACUAUGCCUGAAUAGGGUGAAGCCAGAGGAAACUCUG